rnacentral:rRNA from 1 species
GGUAACACUGAAUGGAGGACCGAACCGACUUACGUUGAAAAGUGAGCGGAUGAACUGAGGGUAGCGGAGAAAUUCCAAUCGAACCUGGAGAUAGCUGGUUCUCUCCGAAAUAGCUUUAGGGCUAGCCUCAAGUGAUGAUUAUUGGAGGUAGAGCACUGUUUGGACGAGGGGCCCCUCUCGGGUUACCGAAUUCAGACAAACUCCGAAUGCCAAUUAAUUUAACUUGGGAGUCAGAACAUGGGUGAUAAGGUCCGUGUUCGAAAGGGAAACAGCCCAGACCACCAGCUAAGGUCCCAAAAUAUAUGUUAAGUGGAAAAGGAUGUGGCGUUGCCCAGACAACUAGGAUGUUGGCUUAGAAGCAGCCAUCAUUUAAAGAGUGCGUAAUAGCUCACUAGUCGAGUGACACUGCGCCGAAAAUGUACCGGGGCUAAACAUA